rnacentral:rRNA from 1 species
UGCGCUACCUGGUUGAUCCUGCCAGUAGUCAUAUGCUUGUCUGAAAGACUAAGCCAUGCAUGUCGAAGUUUAAGUUAUUAUUUAACGAAGCUGCACAAGGCUCAUUAAAACAGUUUUUAUCUGCUUGGUACUAAUGCUACAUGGGCAACCGUGGCAACUCUAUGGCUAAUACAUUUGUACAACUCUCACGAGUAUGUGUUUAUUAGGCGGAAGAACUUAUAUUGUUGAAUUAUUUUAACCUUUUCAAUCGGCUUGACCGAAUUACCAAAUGAAAAUCUGACUUACCAGCCGUCGACGGUUGGGUAGUGGCCAACCAUAGCUUUGACACGUGACGGAGAAUUAGGGUUUGGUUCCGGAGAGGAAGCCUUAGAAACGGCUUCCACGUCCAAGGAUGGCAGCAGGCGCGCAAAUUACCCAAUUUCAAGAAGGAGAGGUAGUGACAAGAAAUUACAUUGCAAGGCACUUGUGUUUUGUGAGUGGACAUCAGUAAGUGUUAAAAUUUGACUGACAUUAUUGGAGGGCAAGUCUGGUGCCAGCAGCCGCGGUAACUCCAGCUCCAAUAGCGUAUACUAAUGUUGUUGCUGUUAAAAAGUUCGUAGUUGUAUAUAUGUAGUUAUUUUUGAUUAUUAUUAAUCUAAGAUAAUACUUUCAUUAGUUUAUUUAUCCUUGUGUUAAAUAAAUUUUCGUACUUUGAGGAAAGUGUAGGGUUCCAACCGGGUAUCAGCUUGUGCAUGUUAGCAUGGUAUAAUUUGCUUCCAUGUCAUGGUAGAGUUCAGAUUGACAUGGUAUCGAUUAUUAGGAACAGUCGGGGGCAUGUGUACUUGAAUAGAAGAGGUGAAAUUCUUGGAUUAUUCAAAGACAGACAGAUGCAAAAGCGCUUGUCAAGAAUGUUUCCAUUAAUCAAGAACGAAAGUUAGGGGAUCGAAGAUGAUCAGAUACCGUCCUAGUCCUAACUGUAAACAAUGCCAACGUGAGAUUAGGAGGCGCCUUAACGGGUCUCCUAGGAUCAUGCGAGAAAUCUGAGUUUUCGGGUUCAGGGGGUAGUAUGGUUGCAAGGCUGAAACUUAAAGGAAUUGACGGAAGGGCACCACCAGGAGUGGAGCUUGCGGCUUAAUUUGACUCAACGCGGGAAACCUCACCAGGUCCAGACGCGAAAAGGAUUGACAGAUUGAGAGUUUUUUCUUGAUUUCGUGAUUGGUGGUGCAUGGCCGUUCUUAGUUGGUGGAGUGAUUUGUCUGGUUAAUUCCGGUAACGAACGAGACCUCAACCGGCUAAAUAGUAUAGCAAUUUUUGUGACAGAUUUCUUAGAGGGACACUUCGUUUGUAACGUGUGGAAGUUUGAGGCAAUAACAGGUCUGUGAUGCCCUUGGAUGCUCUGGGCUGCACGUGUGCUACAUUGCAAAAUUCAACGGGUUCUGGGCCUGAAAGGGCGAAGAAAGCCGUACAAUUUUGCGUUCCUGGAAUAGUUUUUUGAAAUUUUUAAACUUUAACAAGGAAUUCCUAGUAGGUGUUGGUCAUUAUCCUGCGUCGAUUACGUCCCUGCCCUUUGUACACACCGCCCGUCGCUCCUACCGAUUGGGUGAUCCGGUGAAAAGAUCGACAGUUGGAAUUCGUUCCAUCUGAAGUUCUGUGAACCUUAUUGCCUAGAGGAAGGAGAAGUCGUAACAAGGUUUUCGUAGGUGAACCUGCAGAAGGAUCA